CACUACAGAAGUUGAGCUAAUCUAUAAUGUUUGUGUUGUCAACAUAGGCUACAAUGUUGACUUGGCCUACUCAUUUCUGCAUUGUUCUGGUCUAUAAAUUAAAGUGUAGCCUGG